GGAGGCACUGUGGGUUCUCCUACGAGUUGCUGUCUAAGCUGUUGGUUCUCCUGGAGAAGCCUUGGUCCUCACAUUGAGUAUUGCUUCCUGGCUCCUGGCUCCGGAGGGGAAGACAUGUGCUGCUUGGUCUCCAGUGUGAGCUCGUCACGCUGCUUCCUGGCACGUACCCGACUGUGCUUGUUGGAGGAGCUCGGGGCCUCCGUGUUGCUGAGGAAGGCUGUGGUGCCUUUCAGGACAGCCCUGGUCUUUGUUGUGAGUGUGACUUCUUGGCUCCAGUGUAGAACCCUCAUCCCACUAGCACAGCUCCUUCAUCCUGCUGGCAUAGACUUUCUGGCUUCCACCGCUGACCCUUGGGUCUUCCUGGCACGGAUCUGUAAAAGAGACUGGCUUUCCAUAGGUGUGAAAUUUGCCCUCUUGGGCGUGAAGCUAAGACCGUCAGUGACACCAUGAAGAUCUCUGCAGUGAAAUGGCUCGCCUGUUGGAUUUGGCCUGCAUCCUGCCUGAGUUCUAAGUGGACAGUGAUCCUAAAGGGACAGGGUGUGUGGGGAGCGUUUCUGUGAGCUAAGAUCCUCAUCUGUCUUUUGCGGCAAGAGGUAUCUGUACUUCCUCACCUGCGGACAAAUACGACAGUGUUCCUGGUGGUGAAUGCACAUCACUUUUAUUUCCCUCUCUUCCUUGCUUUCUGUUUCCUUCUUCUCUCCACAUAGCUAAUGAAGCUCUCACUAAUCCUGUCUCCUCUGGACUCUGAGAAAAAGCCACAGAACAUUUCCUCCAUGAAACAAAGGCUUGGGUUCCACCCUUUCUCCUCCCCUGCCCCCAAAUUAGGAGUUCCCAGGAUUCUCCGAUGAGAAGUAAAUUUAUGAACUCUUAUUUUUUGCUGAAAUUCUUUUUUUUAAUUUAGAAAAAUAUACAUAACACAAAAGUUACCAUUGUAACCACUUACAACUGCACACAUCCAAACUUGCAUUGAUGGAAUAAUCUCUGUAAGUUUUUUCCUAAAGUAUGUUAUUAACAUGAAACAGUAUGGUAGCAAAUAUUAUGAUGGACAUUACCUUAGCUCCCUGGUCCCAUCAGCCCCUAAAAUUGGAACUGAGCUAAAGGGUUUGAUCUGGUAUUUUAUUUACCAAGCACAAUUUAUAAAUGGGAACACCUUGGUAUCUUAGGUCCCUUAUUCAUGUAUAUGUAUGAAGACAUACUUCCCCUCCUAAGUGACAGAGGGAGAGCUCUUCAGAUAUUUGGGGGAGGUUAGAGGCCCGGGUUAUAUCACCGUGUUGUGUGUGAAUGCCUGCCUGUGGGAAGCAGAGGGCAUCUUGGAUUUACUGCCCUGUGAGCUCGGUCAAGGACUAGUCAUUAGGAAAGGAGGAGGAAAACCUUGGAACAAGCCAAGAAAAUACUGCAAGUUCAAUUACAAUUCAUGUUAGUCCAUUAUGCUGUUCAAACCCCAAACAGGUGGCCAGGAAAUUAAAUCUCUGUCCAAACGC